UUAUACGGGUGGGUAGUAAGUUCCCUACGGAGUCAUUGUAGCAGUUCUAGCGCGGGGCGGCUCAGUUGGCCCGUAGUCAACUUCAUCUCUGGGGUGUGGAUAACCUCGAGAAGGGGGGAACUAGGGCUGUAAUCUGCUUUGUUCCCGGCAUCGUCUAUGGUCCACCUAGUUUAUUGUCGUGGGAGGGGGCCUUUGGCCUCUCGUGGUGUUGUUGAGGUCAGGGCUCUUUCAAGGCUAUACCAGGUAUGGGCUCUGCUGUGAGAAGUCCGGAGAUGGGUAGUGUGUCCCGCACCCAGUCCCUAUGGGGCUCAGCUGGCGAGGAGCCUUAGCAAUGUGGGUAAGCAUGCUUUGGUCACUAUGAGUGUCUCGUGCUCAAGGGGUGUUGGUUCUGUCGUGGAGGCUCACACGAGUAUGGGGCGGGCAUGUUUGGUGUCAGCCUUCGCGGUAGUCCCAGCACCUCGUGUGCUCAGGUCGUUUGGUGUACCUUAGUCAUCCGUAGCCGACUGGUCAAGUUUCUGGUUAGAUCCACCUGAUCGGCCGAGGGUCUGCGUGUCAGUAUCCAUAUCUGGGGUUCUGGUGUGGCAGACGGUAUUCUGUGGGUAGGGGUGAGGUCCUUUGCUCCAUCGCGGAGCGCCUAGUGGCGCAGUCGGUUCGUCAGACAAUGUUUGUCGUGUGACGGGAUGACCAUCUGCGGGCGCAAUCCUGGAUUAGAUGUCUGGUGUAGUGUCCUCGCGGUGGUUAGAUGCAGUCCUUGGUGUUGCAUUGGCUUGUGGCCAAUGACCGGUCCGCCGGGAAGCCGGUUAAGUUUGCUAACAUGGGCCCGUUCGGACGUCAGGUCUGCAGUCUGGUGCGCCUAUAGCGGGGGCGCAC
rnacentral:rRNA from 1 species